GCGCCUAAUUCCGCGCGUGGCUUCAUUGACUGUUGACUGUCGAGGAGUGAACAUCUCUCUGACUAAACCAAUAUGGAAGCUUUCGAACGACAAGAGUGUCAGGCUGCGAUACUUUGUGAAAAGAAACAGCAUGUUAUUGCUGUAUUGUUGCGAUCAUCAUUAUGACUUGUGUUUUACUAUAUCAAGUUUACCUUUUUUAAUUUAAAUUGCAUGGGACGUGCUGUCAUUUUAGCUUUAUAAAUAAUCCGUCUGAGAAAAGGAAUUGUGUUUAAUUUUAUAUUCCCAAUAGCGAGGCUUUUCUUUCUAAGUUGGAUGGCGUUAAAUCUCCGUGUAUCAUCAACGUGAAAACAAGCGCAGUAUUUAAGGUUGGUAUACUACAAUGCAUUACAGUUAUUGUGUUAUUUUAUAGUCAAAUUUCCGCUUUGUUGUUUUUAUUCUUGUACUGUAAUUUUAUAAAUACACUGUACAAAAUUAUGGCGUCAUACUUGUGUUUAUAAUGCCUCUAAUUUGACCCUAUUGUGUGUGUAUAUGUACUGUGUCACUGUGAUACAUAUGUACAUGUUUUGAGUUAAACGAAUUGUUUAAUAAAUUUUUGCUGAAGUAUGAUACCUGUUUGUAUGGAUUUUUACAUAUAUGUGCACUGUGUAUAGUUUAUACAUUGGUUCUCAGAUGAGUCUGAAGGUAUAUUGUUAUUCAGUUAUUUGUAUGUAUUGUUUUAUACAUUUUGCUGAGUAUGAUGCCUGUUUGUAUCUAGUUGUGGAUGGUUGUGAGAAUAUAAUUUUAGAGGUUACAUGUUUGCUAAUUUUAGAGAUGAUAAUGUAUCAAAUAAUAAUUUUCUUGUUAUGAUUUUGUAGAAAGAGAUUUACUUGAGUGGUUGGUUGGUCUUGAGCCUGUUCAGGAUGGAUAUGAUAAUGAAAGAGGUGAUCAAGGUGAUAGGGCAGAAAGUGAUGACGUUUAAGUGAGAAGAUGAAAGUGAUGAGGAGGAAAUCGCCCACGCUGUAGCAUUCAAGUGCAUCGGUGAUGCUCGUGAGAAAAACUACCAACAUCAUUUGGAAAAUUAAAUUAAGACAUAAUACCUCACUCUUCAUGAACAAGAUAAAACAGUGAACGUAAGAAUAUGGCCAGCACCAUUGAAUCCAAGGGACCCAAGUGCAAUAGGCAAUUCCAGCUUUUAGUUUAUUUUAUUAAAAUUUUUCAGCAUAAUCAGCAAUAUGAUACCUUACUGCCUGUUGCCCCCUGCACACAUAAAUUAAAAGCUGGAAUUGCCUAUUGACUAGACUAUGGAACUGGAUGACAACAUGCUGGUUAUAUUGCUUUUCAAAUAUGCAAGUAUUUGCACCCACUAAUUGCUGCAGAUGUCGUGGAUGUCUAUUGUCUAUGUUCAGUGUAUCAAGUAUAGGGUUGACUUUUUUAAUUAAAAAGGGUGGAUUUUUUAUUUCGGG